GCCGCAACCAGUCCCGGCACACGCUGGCGGCCUCAGCAGAGCAGGGGAAGAGAAACGCGCCUGCCCUGCAGACCUCAGCUCCCAACCGUGCGGCGUUUCUAUUACCACUGUCCCCGGAAGGCCAUCAGUCAGACACAAGGGGCUGUGGCGGGAGAGGCCCUGGCCUGCCGUGUGCCCAGGUGGACGGCCCACCUUUCCUGAAAGACAGGAGCCAGUUAUCGUCCAAGCCCGGAUGGCAGCUGUGACGGGGCCAGGAAAUAGCACCUUGGACUGGGCACCCGGUGCUCAGGAGAAGAACAAGAACGGGAUCGCUUUCUUUGAAGAGUUUCUAGUGUCUUCAGGAAGGCACAGCCUUGGAAAGACGUGCUGAGGAGCAGCGACGAAGCCAGCACACGCCUUUGUCCACUCGGCGUCUAGCUGUGUGCCGCCGGGCUCUGCUCUGCCCUGGAUUAUAGCCAAGGCCCAACACACAAGGAAAAAGACACCGCACCACAGUCCAGAAAGUCCUUCGGUGAGGCCGGCACCAGCCCCCAGGCCGUCGGGAGAAGGGAGCAGCGACCCUAAGCCCUUCCUCUGCCCUCCAGGAGAUGGGUGCAGGGAGCGCAGAGAGUCGGCCUCGGCGAUGGGUGAUGGGUGAUGGGUCAAAGCCCGUUUCCCUCAGAUGCUGUUCACAGAAUCACUUGGAAGGCACAGUGGUUGGGGAAGUAGGAGGAGCCGGCGUGAGCCCAGGGAGCCCCCCUGGUGAGGAGACCCCGCCGCCUUUACCUCGCCCGUCCUUCCUGCCCUAGAAGGUGAGGCAGGAAAGGCCGACGGCCCUCGGGCGUCCUGGGUCUGCGACGGCAGCAGAGGGCUGGUGCCCAGAGCACCAGAGGGCAGCCACACGCCUGGGCGAAGGGCGCUCCUGGGGGAAAGUACCCGCCCUGAGCUAGAGCCUUUCCAAGGCCGUUAAACCAGCACCAGCGGGAGACGGUGGCCAGCUCCGGAGGGCGCACUCGUGGCUGCUGGCUGAGCAGAGGAGUCGGGCUCGGUUCUCCUGGGGACAAGGUGUGACCAGGGACAGGUGGAGUGGAUGGGGGAGGCCGGAGGGGCCGCUGCUCGAGGGCGAUGUCAAGUGAGGGGUGAAGAGUUGGAGGGCAAGGAGGGGCGGGCUCUCUGGGCAUGAUGACAGUGAUGACAGUGUCACCCAGACUUGGGAGAAGUGAGGGCAGAGGCCAUGGCUGAGAGGGAGGCAGGGACUACGUGGGAUGCUCAGGUUUGUGGAAAAUAGGAUUAAAGGAAGAGUGUAUUUGGUGCAAAAAAAAGAAAUUCAUGCGUAGAUUUUCAGUCUGCGUUUCCUCGAACUUUUGGCAGGCUUUUCUGGGCGGCAGGACAGAACUCCAGGCUUCCCCAGGUCCACGGGCCUUCUCGCCUUGGGGAGCGUGCGGACUUGGUGCGUGGGCAGUGCCAGGUCCCCGGUGUCUGAGAGUGUCGCUGGGCUAUUUCAGGAUGGCGCUCCGCAGUGCUGCUGGUGGGGAGUUUGAGGAAGACCGGCCCAGCGCGCCCAGCGGUGGGCAGUGUGGAGGCAAGUUCCCCAGAUCUUUCCCCAACUUCUGCUUUGGCCCGCUGAGGUCUGCAUGAGUUGGGCGGAAGUGCAGCCUGGGCCCCUCACCUGCAUGGGGCAGCCCGCUGCUUGCUCUGGAGCCCUGGACUCGCACGUGCUCGGUGCUGCACUCGGGCUGGGGCCGGGGUCCCCUCUCUUUGCAGCGUAGCACACAAAGGCCCGUCAGCGCAUGGUUGUGAGGACACCCUGUGCUGAGAGUGGACUGCCUGACUCCUGCGAGCAGCCCCUGCCCUCGCCAAGGCGUCCUCAGAUGGAAGUGCUCAGUGCGCCCUGCGGAUUCACGUGUGGCGUCCCUCAGGCUGUGUCAUGGCGGAGAACUUUGGGAAUAAACGCCUUCGCCUUCACCAUAGCAGUUUUGCAGAGAGCGUUGUCAUGAGAUUUGCAGAUGCAAA